UGGGAUUAAAGGUGUGUGACACCAUGCCCAA
rnacentral:piRNA from 1 species